rnacentral:lncRNA from 1 species
UAAUAAUAAUUAUAAAUUUUAAUUUUUUAAAUUUUAAAUUUUAAAAAUAAAAAUAGGGAUAGCAUCCCUAUAUAUAUAUAAUUGGAUUGGAAUACUAUUAAUGGUAUUUGAUCUUUUUUACUAUUGCGUUUUUAAUCCUUAAAUGAAAAAUUAUAGGAUUAAGUUAAUAGUGGUUUCNAUAUAUAUAUAAUUGGGAUGGAAUACUAUUAAUGGUAUUUGAGCUCUUUUGCUAUUGAGUUUUUAAUUCUUGGAUGAAAAAUUAUAGAAUUAGAAUUAUAGUGGUCCCUCGACUAUUAGUAGACUUUGGAUCAAAUACAAUUUCACCUAUCAUCACUAAACCCAAGUGAGCUACUAUCAUCUUAGCCCUACAACACCUCUAUCCAAGGGCUACAAGCCUAAAACUAUCUACCCGUUGAUACUUCUAAAAGUAUUCUAGCUCAAUUCAUAUAUAUAUAUAUAUAGCUAGACUGCUAUAUUAUCGGUAGUACGGAGCUGUCCAUAUUACAAAGUUGUUUUCAAUUAUACGGUUUCUAAAUCAACGAUCGGCUCUGUUAAACUUGAUAUACACUAUUGAAAGUAUUUGAAAUCUAAAUUUCAUAAUUUUUCUACAUUAUUUGGCUAGUGACUCCGUUAGACUUGAUCUACACUAUUAAAAGUAUUUGGAAACUAAAUUUUAUAAUUUUUUGACAUUAUUUGGCUAGUGAUCAGAAGGUCUCAAAAUUGAUAAUUUUAAUGAUCAAUAUAAUGCGUUUGUUGAUUUAACGGUAUAAAACAAUUCAAAUCUAAUUAAAUUUUUAUAGAAAAUUCUUUUUACUAUUUAGAGUAAGAUCAGUACUUCUGAUCUUAAAUUCAAAUCUUUUAUCAUUAUUUUUUAUGAGAUUUUUAUUUUUAGCCACUUAUUUUUAGACUACUCGUUUAAUAGAUAAAUGAUGUUGAAAUUUUCUAAAAUUUAGUUUCUAAAUACUUUUAGCAGUAUAGAUCAAGUCUAACGGAGCUGAUUAUCGAUUUGGAAGCCACAUCAUUAAAAAUAACUUAGUAGUACGGAUGCCUCCGUGCUAUCGAUUGUAUAGCAGUCGGACUUUAUGAGUAUAGACCCUUUUGUACUCAUAAGUUUUCAACCGUUAGAUCUACCCCUUUGACCAUUUCCAUCCGUUUGAUCAUACUAUUCUACAAAUCAUCGACUCAACCCUAGGAGUCUACUAUCACUGUCAUCCUAACUGGGGACCACUAUCAUCCUAACCACAUACCCCUUCAUCUAGCGACCAAAAACUUAUGAGUACAAAAAGUUCUAUACUCAAUAGGUGUAAUAUAUCAGACUUUUACAAUCAUGAAAUUUUGGUAGGAACUGGCUUAAAAAGCUAUUAAAAUAGUUCCGAUAAACUUUGGACAGUAUUCGAGUGUUUUCGGCGCAAACUUGACGCGAAGACGGACUCGAAAAACUGAAAUCUGCCUAAGCUGCAGAAUUUGUAUUGAAUACCAGUACUGGGGUUCUGAGUACCGGUACGCAAUACAAAAUAAUAAAUUCGAACUCUCGGGUUUUGAGAAACCAAGUUCGGGUACCGGUACUAAAUUUGUAUUGGGUACCGCUACUGAAAACCGAGUACCGGUACGCAGUUCUGUAAAAUACAGAUUUUAAAGGAAAUUUUAGUAAAAUCAAGUGUAAAUAAAAAUAGUGUGAAAUACUAUAUUUAUUGACUUAGAAAAAAAAAAGAUAAUUUAGAAAUAGUUUGUGGUGAAAUUGAAAUAAAAAUAGAAAAUUUAAAAUUUUCUAUUUUUAUUUCAAUUUCACCACAAACUAUUUCUAAAUUAUCUUUUUUUUUUCUAAGUCAAUAAAUAUAGUAUUUAGGGUUUAGGGUUUAGGGUUUAGUAAGGAACGAGAUUAAUCUUUUAGCAGAAAAUUCACAGUGUCAGAAAAUUAUAAAAAUUUGAGAAUAGUUGGAAUUAUUUUUUCUGAAACUAGAUUUAAAGUUUCAUGUCAUUCCGACACCCGAAAAGUGGAAAACAAAAUCUGACUGCUAUCUGCUAGAGAUUCUAGUCGGUAGACUUUUCAGUGACAAAAAAUGGUUCAAAAAUAAAAAGUUAAGAUCACAUUCUUCUAAUUGAUUUUAACUGAGCUUGACUGUCAGAUUUGAGCGCAAACGGACAUUCAGAAGGGCUCCGACAAAAAGUAUCAGAUUUUGAACUGGAUUAAAUUGUAAGUUGCAAUUGUUGGGGAACCUACAU